rnacentral:lncRNA from 1 species
CUGUCGUUAAGAUAAAUUCUCCAGUAGACAACCUCUCCCACUAAUUGUGUAUUAGCAACGUAUUUUAUCUUGAGAGCUUGUACACUGGGCUCUCAACGUGGUGUGGAAGGUAGCCUGUUACAGUGCUGGAUUCAUAAAAGGGCCUUUAUGGUUUGUGAAAGAAUAUCUGUGUGCUUAGGGAGGAAACUUUUUGAUCUGCAGAAAAGCCAGAAGACAUCUAGGACAUCCAUAAAAAUUCAUCAGAGAGCAUUUUACUACUGAGCUGCAAAGGGAAAAACUUAAAAUGGAUAUGAAAAGUGAAGAAAGUGAUCAUAGGAGAAAACCAUUUCAGGUGUCUGAUGAUUUGUGAGCCUCAAGUGACUACUCUGUGGAAUCAUCUGUCCUUGCCUUUGAAUUAGCUUUCCCUAGGCCAUGAGUCAACAUUAGUAGUUUAUACAUCCAAAUUGAUGACAAGAGCACCUCAAAGGCAGCAGCCUCAAGGAGCAGCCAUGGCCCCAGACUUGUCGCACGGAUGCAGAAAACUUAAUGGAGGAGGCUGAGUCAAAUCAGGAGCUUUAGAAAAUACUGAUGCCUGGCUCUCAACCAGAGAGAACUGAACUGAAUUGGUCUGGUGAAUUCAUUAAAAGAGCUAACAACAAUGAAGUUAAUGUACGCAUCUCACCUCUCAAGAGUAUUAACAGGCCAGGCGUGUUGGCUCAUACCUGUAAUCCCAGCACUUUGGGAGGCCAAGGCGGGCGGAUCACCCAAGAAUGGGAUAACUGCCUGGCACUCACCAAGCUACACUUGAAGAGGAUCAAUCCAUGUCAUCAUGUCCCCAAUUUCAUAGCACCAAGUAUUUUGUUUAUUCACAAAUGCCCUAUUAUGGACAUCUAGCAAACAAUGAUACAUCAGAAAAGGAGAUGUGCAUAAAUUUUCAUGGAAUAAGGUAUAAAGCCCAACUCUCAAUACAUACUAAUCAUAACAGGAGUCUAAGAAAUAUUCUGAAAUAAAUGGGAAUGCAGAAUGUGUCAGGCCUCUGAGCCCAAGCUAAGCCAUCAUAUCCCCUGUGACCAGCACGUACACAUCCAGAUGGCCGGUUCCUGCCUUAACUGAUGACAUUCCACCACAAAAGAAAUUAAAAUGGCCUGUUCUUGCCUUAACUGAUGACAUUAUCUUGUGAAAUUCCUUCUCCUGGCUCAUCCUGGCUCAAAAGCUCCCCAACUGAGCAUCUUGUGACCCCCACUCUUGCCUGCCAGAGAACAACCCCACUUUUUCCUUUACCUACCCAAAUCCUAUAAAACAGCCCCACCCCUAUCUCCCUUCGCUGACUCUCUUUUUGGACUCAGCCCGCCUGCACCCAGGUGAUUAAAAUCUUUAUUGCUCACACAAAGCCUGUUUGGUGAUCUCUUCACAGGGAUGCGCAUGAAAGAAUGUGCCACAGAAAAUGAGACACAUCAAUGAGGGUAGGUUUGAAAUACCAAUUUAAAGCAGACUUUCACCGUUUGGCCAGGCUAUAAACAUUAAAAAUCCAUAACUAAGAUCUUACUAUAUAUUCAGGCAUUUUAAGAACUCUGCAUAUAUAAUUACAUUUGACCCUUCUAAUGCCUUUAUCAGAUAGGUUCUAUUAUUGCUCUUUUUUAAAUAAAGAAGAUAAACUUUGAAGAGAUUAAUAAAUUAAUAAAUUGGUCCUCCAUGACAC